UACAUGGAGUCCAAGCGUUAUCCGGAUUUACUGGGCGUAAAGCGUCCGCAGGCUUCCAAGCCAGUUCCUGGUGAAAUCUCACGGCCCAACCGUGAGACUGUCAGGAAUACUACUUGGAUUGAGUAUGGCAGAGGCAAGGGGAAUUCCCGGUGUAGGGGUAAAAUCCGUUGAUAUCGGGAAGAACACCAGUGGCGAAGGCGCCUUGCUGGGCCAUUACUGACGCUCAGGGACGAAAGCGUGGGGAGCGAACGGGG
rnacentral:rRNA from 1 species